AACUUCAGUGUUCUACGUUGCGACCAAAAUGGUCGCCAAUGCGACCAAAAUGUUGGCGUGGCGACUGAUUGAAUUUAUUAUCGUCAUCUGGCAACUGACUCCAAAAACGUCUAAGUAUUAAAUUAUUUGCCAUGUGCGUCCUAGCAGCGAAAACAAAUGAAAUUUGUUGACAUCAUUGUGCAGUCGGAACAUUUCACUAUUUAUGAAGUUGUCCGAUUAAUCACUGUGAAUUCCGUAUUAAUUGUCGGUACAAUUCGGAACUCAUCGUUGAUUUUAGUAAUUUGGCGAAAACAAUCCAGAUACUUACAACACAUUCAUAAAUGAUACAAAAUGAGUAGUGUCACACUGUGGCAAGUAACAUUUUAAGCUUGGCUAGUACAUUUUGUUUGUCCACUAGCCAAAGAAGACCCAUGUCCUAAGCGGUUUCAGUUUACAGAUUCGGAUGAAUGUCCAAAUGAUGAUGGAGAAGACAUAAUUAAUGUCACUUUACCAACCACCUGUUAAACCCAAAGCUAGCACGAACAUCAAGAAACCAAAACUGCCAGCACUACCAGCUCUGCCAGAGUUUAUCAAGUCACCUUGUUACAAGGAACAACAAAUACAUGAAGAUUCCAAUGACACUGGAAUUGAAAGUAUUUUUAAUUCUAGGGAGCCACAAGUAUCCUCUCUAAAGAGGCUACAUAAAGGGGAUCACACUUCACAGCCACUUCUGCAAGAGAAAACCCUCUUGCAGGCCUUGGAAGAAAUCAAAGACACCCUGAAACAACAUACUCUAAUGUUGCAGUCACUGCUUCAUAGUGGAGCUGCAGAAGUAGAAUAUGUUGAUAAUGUGUUCAACUUGCCGUUAACAACAGAGCAGGAUGUUGAAGAAUGGAUGAAAUAUUAAAAAAUAAACUGAAACGGAAGUAAUUUAUAAGUUUUUACAGGUUUUGUGAAUGAAAAUAUACAAAUCAAUAUGUGUUAUUGUUUUCUUAAAAAUUAAAAUAUUUUUUAUUAAUAUAUUUGCUAAUAUUCACUGUCUAGAACUUCAGAUAUUUAGCUUUGAGAUUUUCAAGUUAUUAUGUAAAUUAAACAAAUAAAUGGUUUGGGAAAUCCAGGUUGAAAUCAUGUGCAUUUAUUUACAGGUACUGAUUGAUUGAUUGUGUGCUGAUAGUUUCAACAGGCUAAUUUAAGCUUUUGUUGAAGUAACGACUUCUUCUCCUUGUAGAAAUUCUUUCAUCAUCCAUUUCAUAAUGUCUAAUGACAUUUUUUGUUCAUCUUUAGAAAGUGUACUCUCCAUGUAAAAUGAAUGUAUUGAAAUGUGAAUGGUGACAAUUACAAGCCUAUAUUUUGAUGGAACUGUCAUGGAAUUCAGAUUUGUUUUCAUAUUUCAUCUUUUUAACGUAGAAUGUACGGUAAUUUUUCACUGUUUAGCAUAAGUUAAUUAGGAACCAUUAAAAGGAGUAAGCCCUAAUUUGUCAUACACAAGACUGAUGGUGUGCACAUCUAUAUUCUUAUAAUUUAAAAUGUUUUUAAAAAUAUAGAGCCGUUAUCUUGCGAGUUUGGCAGGAUACGGGGUCAAGAACAUGGUGGACAGGACCAUGUCGGCCAUCUUCACCAACCACCAGAUUAAACUGGUCAGGGAAAGCAGGGAAGUUGUCUUUCUCAAACCUGCUAUUGCCAAAGAGUUGGAUCUUGCAAAAGAAACGGUUUCAUCCUCAUCUGAGUCAGACUAGGUUCCAGUGAUAUUGUCAUCCUCAUCGUCAUCCUCAUCUGAAUCAGACUAGGUUCCAGUGAUAUCGUCAUCCUCAUCUCUUGAAUCGGACUAGCUUCCAAUAGGAUAUUCUGGUUGUAGCUUGAUACUGCAAAGGGAAAAGUGAUGUCGUAAUCCUCAUGUUAUGAAUUGGACUUCAAUUAGAAUAUUUUUAUAUCAUUUCUGACAAUACAAUUAAAUUAAUUGCACAUUACCAAACUAAGACAAGACCGAUAUAGAUAUAUACAAACAAUAACAAUAAGAAUAUUAUUACCGGUAAAAAAAAAAAAAAAAAAAUAUGUUUUGAGUUUUAUUGCCCUUUGCAAUUUUGUGCAUUUGAAAUAUGACUACAUACAGCAACUAUAACCUUUUAAUCAUAUUUAUUUGUGGUAAAAUUCACCUUUUAAAAAAUGUACGUAAGCAUUUAACUUCAAGCCUGUGGUUAAUUUGUGUAGGCUACUGUCUGUAGUUUCUCUUUCAGAUAAUCUACCUCAGCAGCUAAUAAUUUACAAUUUUUACUUUUAUUUAUUUAUUUAUUAUUAUUUUUUAUUAUUAUUAUUAUUAUUUUUUUUCUCUUUUUUUUUCGAGUACUGCAGGAAAAAUAUUACGCUAUUCAUAUGUCUAUGGAAUAUGUACACAAAAGGGUCCGCUAGAUUCAUAUACAAUCACCCUCCCCUCUCCUGUUCAGACCACCAC